rnacentral:rRNA from 1 species
GACGAACGCUGGCGGCGUGCUUAACACAUGCCAGUCGAACGGAAAGGCCCUGCUUGCAGGGUACUCGAGUGGCGAACGGGCGAGUAACACGUGGGUGAUCUGCCCUGCACUUCGGGAUAAGCUUGGGAAACUGGGUCUAAUACCGGAUAGGAGCCAUCUUUAGUGUGGUGGUUGGAAAGUUUUUUCGGUGUAGGAUGAGCUCGCGGCCUAUCAGCUUGUUGGUGGGGUAAUGGCCUACCAAGGCGGCGACGGGUAGCCGGCCUGAGAGGGUGUACGGCCACAUUGGGACUGAGAUACGGCCCAGACUCCUACGGGAGGCAGCAGUGGGGAAUAUUGCACAAUGGGCGCAAGCCUGAUGCAGCGACGCCGCGUGGGGGAUGAAGGCCUUCGGGUUGUAAACUCCUGUCGCUAGGGACGAAGCUUUUUUGUGACGGUACCUAGAUAAGAAGCACCGGCUAACUACGUG